GGGACAACAGACGGAAACGACUGCUAAUACCGAAUAAGUUCCAAGAGCCACAUGGCCCAUGGAAGAAAAGGUGGCCUCUACCUGUAAGCUAUCGCCUGAAGAGGGGUUUGCGUCUGAUUAGCUGGUUGGAGGGGUAACGGCCCACCAAGGCGACGAUCAGUAGCCGGUCUGAGAGGAUGAACGGCCACACUGGAACUGAGACACGGUCCAGACUCCUACGGGAGGCAGCAGUGGGGAAUCUUCCGCAAUGGGCGAAAGCCUGACGGAGCAACGCCGCGUGAGUGAUGACGGCCUUCGGGUUGUAAAACUCUGUGAUCCGGGACGAAAAGGCAGAGUGCGAAGAACAAACUGCAUUGACGGUACCGGAAAAGCAAGCCACGGCUAACUACGUGCCAGCAGCCGCGGUAAUACGUAGGUGGCAAGCGUUGUCCGGAAUUAUUGGGCGUAAAGCGCGCGCAGGCGGCUUCCCAAGUCCCUCUUAAAAGUGCGGGGCUUAACCCCGUGAUGGGAAGGAAACUGGGAAGCUGGAGUAUCGGAGAGGAAAGUGGAAUUCCUAGUGUAGCGGUGAAAUGCGUAGAGAUUAGGAAGAACACCGGUGGCGAAGGCGACUUUCUGGACGAAAACUGACGCUGAGGCGCGAAAGCGUGGGGAGCAAACAGGAUUAGAUACCCUGGUAGUCCACGCCGUAAACGAUGGAUACUGGGUGUAGGAGGUAUCGACCCCUCCUGUGCCGGAG
rnacentral:rRNA from 1 species